rnacentral:rRNA from 1 species
CCUACGGGAGGCUGCAGUGGGGAAUUUUGCGCAAUGCUCGUAAGAGUGACGCAGCGACGCCGCGUGAAUGACGAAGGCCUUCGGGUCGUAAAGUUCUUUCGACAGGGAAGAAAAUGCAUAUAAGUAACUGUGUAUGUAUUGACGGUACCUGUAUAAGCAGCCCCGGCUAACUCCGUGCCAGCCGCCGCGGUAAUACGGAGGGGGCGAGCGUUGUUCGGAGUGACUGGGCGUAAAGAGCACGUAGGCGGUGUUGUAAGUCAUUAGUCAAAGACUAGAGCUCAACUUUAGUAAGGCUAGUGAUACUAUAAUACGAGAGUAUCAGAGAGGAUUGCAGAAUUCCUGGUGUAGCGGUGAAAUGCGUAGAUAUCAGGAGGAAUACCGUUAGCGAAGGCGGCAAUCUGGCUGGAAACUGACGCUGAGGUGCGAAAGCGUGGGUAGCAAACAGGAUUAGAUACCCCGGUAGUC